rnacentral:rRNA from 1 species
AUGGAGAAAGUGUCAGGUCUGAUGGAGAGGCUGCGUCUGUCAGAGGCGGAGAAGAAGGGGAUCCGGAUCGGCUGGGCUGACGGCAAAAAGUUUGGGGAAGUCGAGGCGCAUGCCAUGAUGAAGCUGCUAUCUGAAAAACAAGUGAUUGCGAAGGCUUUAGAGAACUCAGUGGGCAGGAUUUGGUGCCCGUUGAGGGGGGUGGAGUGCAAGACCAUGGGAGAGAACAUUUUCCACAUCAAGUUUCUGCAGCAAUCAGGGAAGAGAAAGGCCAUGGAGGAAGGACCGUGGGUGUUCAAAGGGGACGCCCUAGUGCCAGAGGAGUUUGACCCAAGAAAGACCUUGGAUGAGUACAACUUCGCAACUAUGCCUGUGUGGGUUAGAGUCUCUGGGUUGCCUCUGAGUAUGCUAAAUGCAGGUGCUGGGGAGAUAAUUGGUGAUGAGGUCAGAGAGUUCAUGGAUACAGAGGUGGCAGUGGAUGCGGUGUCGAGAUUACGGAUCCUACGAGUCAAGAUUCGUUUGAAUAUCAAAGAGCCGCUCUGGCGUGGGAUCACAGUUCAUGAUGAGGACAAGCUGUGUGCUGGGGGAGGUGGGAGCCAAGUAGAUGGACAGGAAAAGAAGAAGGAGGAAGAUGAAGGAAAAUGGUGUCCGUUUUCUUAUGAAUUCAUUCCCGAUUUUUGCCACACUUGUGGGAUAAUUGGCCAUACAGAUAAGUCCUGCUCGACUAAGCUGACUCAAGGGGAAGUGCAGCAAUGGGGAUCUUGGCUGAGUUGGAAGCCGGCUAAGAGAGUCGAUUGGGGUUCGGACAGUACCUCGGGAAGCAAGUGGCGUGGAGGGAAGUGA